UGGGGAAUAUUGCACAAUGGGCGAAAGCCCGAUGCAGCGACGCCUCGUGAGUGAAGAAGUAUUUCGGUAUGUAAAGCUCUUUCGCACGCGACGAUGAUGACGGUAGCGUGAGAAGAAGCCCCGGCUAACUUCGUGCCAGCAGCCGCGGUAAUACGAAGGGGGCAAGCGUUGUUCGGAAUUACUGGGCGUAAAGCGCACGCAGGCGGCGUGACGCGUCAGAAGUGAAAUCCCCGGGCUCAACCUGGGAACUGCUUUUGAAACGGUCAUGCUUGAAUCAUGGAGAGGGUAGCGGAAUUCCGAGUGUAGCGGUGAAAUGCGUAGAUAUUAGGAGGAACACCAGUGGCGAAGGCGACUUACUGGACGAUAACUGACGCUGAGGCUCGAAAGCGUGGGGAGCAAACA
rnacentral:rRNA from 1 species